rnacentral:tRNA from 1 species
UGACGGAAAACAAAAAAUUGUAUUUAAUUUCGACUUAAACUUGUGGUAGAUGAACACCUACCUCCGUUAA